AGAUUGAACGCUAGCGGGAUGCUUUACACAUGCAAGUCGAACGGCAGCGCGGACUUCGGUCUGGCGGCGAGUGGCGAACGGGUGAGUAAUAUAUCGGAACGUGCCCAGUAGCGGGGGAUAACUACGCGAAAGCGUGGCUAAUACCGCAUACGCCCUACGGGGGAAAGGGGGGGAUUCUUCGGAACCUCUCACUAUUGGAGCGGCCGAUAUCAGAUUAGCUAGUUGGUGAGGUAAAGGCUCACCAAGGCGACGAUCUGUAGCUGGUUUGAGAGGACGACCAGCCACACUGGGACUGAGACACGGCCCAGACUCCGUACGGGAGGCAGCAGUGGGG
rnacentral:rRNA from 1 species